GGGCGGACCUGGCGUACUGGAACGUGCAGGCGGUGUUCCUGCCGCCGCAGGUGACCGGCUCGCAGGGUCCGGUGUUCCGGGCCGCGCU
rnacentral:tRNA from 1 species